GAUGAACGCUGGCGGCGUGCCUAAUACAUGCAAGUAGAACGCAGAAGGAGGAGUUUGCUCUUUUGUAUGAGUGGCGAACGGGUGAGUAACGCGUAGGUAACCUGCCUGGAAGAGGGGGAUAACUACUGGAAACGAUAGCUAAUACCGCAUGCCAACAGUUAUUGCAUGUUCAAUGUUAAAAAGGCACAACUGCUCCACUACUAGUUGCACCUGCGUAGUUUUUGCCAGUUGGUGUGGCAUCGGCUCACCUAGGCGACGAAACCUAUGCGACCUGACAGGGGGUUCGGCCACCCUGGGACUGCGACCCGGCCCAGACCCCUACGGAGUGCGCCCGUAGGGGAUCUUGGGCAAUGGACGGAAGACUGACCACGCAGCGCCGCGGGCGGAAAGACGGUUUUCGGAUCGGAAAGCUCUGUUGUAAGGGGAGAACGAGUGUUAGGGUGGAAAGUUCACGCUGUGACGGUAACUUACCAGAAAGGGACGGCUAACUACGUG
rnacentral:rRNA from 1 species